rnacentral:rRNA from 1 species
AUUGAACGCUGGCGGCAGGCCUAACACAUGCAAGUCGAACGAGUGGCGGACGGGUGAGUAAUGUCUGGGAAACUGCCUGAUGGAGGGGGAUCACUACUGGAAACGGUAGCUAAUACCGCAUACCAUCAGAUGUGCCCAGAUGGGAUUAGCUAGUUGGUGGGGUAAAGGCUCACCAAGGCGACGCUCCCUAGCUGGUCUGAGAGGAUGACCAGCCAAACUGGACCUGAGAAACGGUCCAGACUCCUACGGGAGGCAGAAGGGGGGAUUAUUGCACAAUGGGCGAAAGCCGUAUGCAGCCAUGCCGGGUGUAUGAAGAAGGCCUUCGGGUUGUAAAGUACUUUCAGCGGGGAGGCGUUACCCGCAGAAGAAGCACCGGCUAACCCCGUGCCAGCAGCCGCGGUAAUAC